CUUACUGAAUCAUCAGAGCUGAACUGGUGAUGGAGAAACAGUGCAGAAUUAUUAGGCAAGUUGUAUUUUUGAGGAAUAAUUUUAUUAUUGAACAACAACCAUGUUCUCAAUGAACCCAAAAAACACAUUAAUAUCAAAGCUGAAUGUUUUUGGAAGUAGUUUUUAGUUUGUGUUUAGUUUUAGCUAUUUUAGGGGGAUAUCUGUGUGUGCAGGUGACUAUUACUGUGCAUAAUUAUUAGGCAACUUAACAAAAAACAAAUAUAUACCCAUUUCAAUGAUUUAUUUUUACCAGUGAAACCAAUAUAACAUCUCCACAUUCACAAAUAUACAUUUCUGACAUUCAAAAAAAA
ensembl:lncRNA